CCGGAAGCUGCCCAGCAGGCAGGGGACACAGCGGCUUCGGAGACCUCAGACCCAGCUCAGCGCUCCUACUCCCUGAGGGGCUAAGAGGGGCAGGGGGCUUGGGGACCCUUCCCAGCCUCCCCCAGACUUUGUGACGCUUUUCAGACCCUGAAAAGCCCCAAGCACCCACAACCUCUGGGAACCCAGGGAGGCCAGGCUGUGCCCCCUCCCCUGAAGCCAGGCCCCUCCCCGGAUGAGGAAUCUGGCCUCCCUUCUAGCCUGAACCCCUGCCCUGGAGACUCAAGCUGACCAGUCAGCUGUUCACGCAGCAUAAAUUCUGAGCACCUGCAAGCGGUGAGAAAGCCCCCAGCCAGAGGCCCGCAGGAGCCCGUUGGCUCACAGCCCUCCGACAGCCAGCGGUCCCUCCUGAGCCCCCGCCGCCCACCACAGCCCCUUCUGGAGCCGGCGGGCGUUCUCCCCUUCCUGAAGUCACACUGCGCCAAUCCGUCCCUACACUCGCACAGGCUGUGCAGGCCGGUCGAGGAGCCCGGUCAGGAAGGACUUCCGGGCAGUAAGUGGCCCAGCGGACUCUGGGUCUUGGGUGAGCGCAGGCCCUCACCUCACCUGGCCGGGUGGGUCUGGGUCUGGGGCCCUAAUCGGUGCGGGAGGCGAGGUCGGCGGCAAACGUGGAGCUGGGGCGCCACCUAGUGGCUUCCCACCUCCCCAGCCCAGAGCCCAG